GAUGACUAAAGAAAAAAUCAUUCCAGUGAGCCAACAUUAGGUAUCCCAUCCUCUGGCACAAAUAAUCAGGAAAGAGGUAUUUAAAUAGAGCAGAACCACAUUAGUUUGAAAUUCGACGACCUGAAACCAGGCAGUCAGAGAUGGAAUCAGAGAAUGUGAGAAUCGGAAGGUAAUUUAGUGAUCACCUAGACCACCGGUUCCCAAACAUUAGCAUGCAUUGUGAUCACCUGGUGGGCUUGUCAAAAUAGAGACUGCUGGACCCUAUGCCUACAACCUAUAAUUUGCUUUAACCAAUCUUGAGUAAGAACUCCCUGACUUGGAAACACUCAAGUAUCCCACACGUGACUGGAUGGCCCUCGCCACACUGGGAACGGAAUGGGGGCCUCCCAUUGGAACUCGGGGUGGAGGCGGAAGCUCCACCAGCUAUUGUGCCUCCUACUUCCAUUGACAAAAUAAGUGUUGCAGACGUGGACGCAGAAGCCAAGAUGCUACGUGAUUUGCUCAAGAUCACAGAGCUAGUAAGAGACAGAACCAGGAUUUGUACCCAUGUAAUCGGACUCUGAAUUGCAUGUUCCAAUCACUACACAUGCUGCUGUCUCGGUGAACAAUGACUCUUACUAUGAAACAGGAGGCAAAAUGAGCUUGCUGCCAUGAGGAUAGAGCCCAGGAUGUUGUCCUGUAUGUUGUAGAGUGAUGUAUCCUCUUCUACCCCAAUGACCACUGGGGUCCCUGUAGGCAAAUUAGGGGUGAUUAGCCAUAAGGAAUAAAUCCAGCCACUCCACUGUU